GCUGACACAUUCCAGCCAAUCAGCAGCAGACCCUCCCUUCCCGACCCUCCCACCUCCUGGACAGCAUCCAUUUUGAAGCUGCAUUCUUAGUGAGCUGUCCAGGAGGUGGGAGGGUCUGGGAGGGAGGGUCUGCUGCUGAUUGGCUGGAAUGUGUCAG